rnacentral:rRNA from 1 species
AUGGAAUAUAAUAUGGUUCCUAAAAUAGCUGACUUUGGUAUCUCAAGAUGUUUUGAUGAAACAAGGACUUGUUAUUACUUCAAAAGUGAUGGGAUUAGUGUAAGCCGGCUAAGCCUCUCGAAAACUCUCAAGCUCUUUUUUUCAGGGUUCACUUUUAAAUUAUGUAUUCAUUAUCUUCUCAUUUCAUGCAGGGGAUAUACUUUACUAAAAGUUCUUUUCAGUGGAAUAAUCACAUUCAAAUCAGACAUAUACAAUCUUAGUCUAUAUAUCAAUAAUUAUGGAGAUAUUGAUUAUGAUGAAGAGGUAUUUUGA